GUCCUUUAGAGAUAAUUGAAGGUUUAACCUGCCCACUGAGAAAUUUUAAAUGGCCGCAGUAAAUUGACUGUGCAAAGGUAGCAUAAUCAAUAGUUUUUUAAUUGAAAGCUUGUAUGAAUGGUUGGACGAGAUAAAAUCUGUCUUUAAUUAAUAGAUAAAAUUUAAUAUUUAAGUUAAAAAGCUUAAAUAAUAUUAAAAGACGAGAAGACCCUAUAGAUCUUUAUAAUAUAGUAACUAUUUAUAUUGAAGAUUGAUUUAUAUUUUAUUUAUAUUAUUAUUAUAUUGGGGUAAUAGAGAGAUUAAAUAAAUUCUUUUUAAAAAUUGACAAUAAUUUUUGAUUUAUUGAUCCAUUGAUUAGUGAUUAAAAGAUUAAGUUACCUUAGGGAUAACAGCGUAAUUUUUUUAGAGAGUUCAUAUCGAUAAAAAAGUUUGCGACCUCGAUGUUGGAUUAAAAAUUAUUCUAGGUGUAGUAGUUUAGAAUUUUGGUCUGUUCGACCAUUAAAUUUUU
rnacentral:rRNA from 1 species